GCCUCCUUAGCUCAGUCGGUUAGAGCGUCGUGCUAAUAACGCGAAGGUCGUAGGUUCGAUCCCUGCAGGAGGCA
rnacentral:tRNA from 1 species